AUUGAACGCUGGCGGCAGGCCUAACACAUGCAAGUCGAGCGAGCGGCGGACGGGUGAGUAAUGUCUGGGAAACUGACUGGUGGAGGGGGAUAACUACUGGAAACGGUAGCUAAUACCGCAUACCAUCAGAUGUGCCCAGAUGGGAUUCGCUAGUAGGUGGGGUAACGGCUCACCUAGGCUACGAUCCCUAGCUGGUCUGAGAGGAUGACCAGCCACACUGGAAAUGAGACACGUUCCAGACUCCUGAGUGAGGCAGCCGUGGGGAAUAUUGCACAAUGGGCGCAAGCCUGAUGCAGCCAUGCCGCGUGUGUGAAGAAGGCCUUCGGGUUGUAAAGUACUUUCAGCGGGGAGGCGUUACCCGCAGAAGAAGCACGGGCUAACGCCGUGCCAGCAGCCGCGGUAAUAC
rnacentral:rRNA from 1 species